GUUCAAUGAAUUCUUCAGUUUCUUAAUCAUGGAGCAAUGUCAUAAUGAAAUUGAAGUCGGUUGGGUUGCAUCACCUCUUCCGAAUUCCCCUUCUACAACCACAAAAGGCUUGGGGAUAGCGUCGCCACUACAUAAGCAUCCGCCUCCAACUUCAAAUAGGAAAUCGACUAUCAUUAGGUCAGGUUAACAACAAAUGCUAUCACAGAUUCAAUUUCUUUAUUCUGCAGUUGCUUGGAUACGAACAGGUCUGAUCUUUCAUCACCAUCCCAGUCGUAAAUCUAUCUUUUCUUGAUUUAAUUUGAACUUCAGUGGAUCUGCAUAAACCAGAUGAGAUUGAAGUUGAAGAGGACUAGAGGGAAGAGCCUGGUGGCAAAGAAGUGGGUCCUUCAGAUUGUGAUGAUGGCGAAGAAGUUGGAUCUGUAAAUGUGGGAAACUCUGCUUAGCUAGCCAAAAAAGAAGACAUUAAUGGAUUACUUGUGGGUGGUGCUUCAUUAAAGG